GGGGAAUUUUCCGCAAUGGGCGAAAGCCUGACGGAGCAACGCCGCGUGCGGGAGGACGGUUUGUGGACUGUAAACCGCUUUUAAUAGGGAAGAAGAAUUGACGGUACCUAUUGAAUAAGCAUCGGCUAACUCCGUGCCAGCAGCCGCGGUAAUACGGAGGAUGCAAGCGUUAUCCGGAAUUAUUGGGCGUAAAGGGUCCGCAGGUGGUUAAUCAAGUCAUGCGUUAAAGAUUCGGGCUUAACUCGGAAUAGGCGGAUGAAACUGAUUGACUAGAGUACGGUAGGGGCAGAGGGAAUUCCUAGUGUAGCGGUGAAAUGCGUAGAUAUUAGGAAGAACACCAGUGGCGAAGGCGCUCUGCUGGGCCUGUACUGACACUGAGGGACGAAAGCUAGGGGAGCGAAAGGGAUUAGAUACCCCUGUAGUCA
rnacentral:rRNA from 1 species